rnacentral:misc_RNA from 1 species
CUGCCAAAACCAACCAUCAUUAAGAAAAUCAUAAAGGAUUAUAAAAAAUCACUAUAUUAGUAUCUGGAAAUUAGACUCACUUGAGUGAUCUUAGCACAUUCCACAAAUGUUUUUGAUAAUACUCUAUCCUGAAUGUAUCAUUAAGCGCUUUGCCAAUGGGUUGGCUUUCAUUAUUUUCAUUGUCAACCCCUGAAUUAGUGUAUAGAAAACUUACAUAAAUCAAACCAAAAUAUAAAAGUAGCUAAUUAACGAGUUAGCAUUUCUAUAUGAGAAAGACGUCAACCACUUACCAUUUUCAGUAAUGUAAAUGACUGGAUUAUUGUAUGUAUCUUUAGUGUAGUUCAGAAGAUGUCGGAUACCUUUCGGGAAAAUAUAAAACCAAGGUGAAUAAGCCUACAAAUUUUGAUUUCUUGUUAGUGAUAUCAUAAAUAAAAAUAUAAUUCCGUCUUUGCUCUAUUUUUAUCAAUUUAUUUUCUUGCAUACUAACCCGAGGACCAAUGAGUUUACCAUCAUAAUCAUAAGCUGUCAAGUGAAAAAAGUAAAACAAAGUUACCAUGAUAUCAAUUAAACUUUUUAAGAUUUUAUCAAAAAAC